rnacentral:lncRNA from 1 species
UGGGCACGCGCGGGCUACCGGGGCGGAGGCGUACGGGGGCGGCGAGCGGGGCUCGGCUCCUCCUCGUCCCGCGCCAGCGCCGCGCCCGGCCGCAUUCUCGGGGCCCGAGGCUCAGCCGCUCGCGGUGGAGAAAGCAGGCCGCGGAGGAGGCGGGCGCCCAGGCCUGCCCGGACAGGAAGUGGGCCCAGCUUUCCCACUCCUCGCUCCGCUCCUUCCUCCGCGGGAAGGGCAGGCCCCGGAGGCAGCGAGCGCCCCGGGGGUGGCCGGGCAGCCGGAUGCUCCCGGGGUUGCGGGCUGUGGCCCCGGGGGCUGAGGGCGGCGCGGGUGCGGCGGAAGCAGGGAAGCCGCGAACCGGCCUUCUGGCUGGCCACAGCGCCCUGCACGGACGAUCAGUGAAUGGAGAUUACUCAAGUAUUUAUCGAGAACUUGCAGUGGGCUAGGCACAGUUCAGGUAGAUCAACAAACCGAAAGACCCUGCCCUAGGGGAGCUUUCGCUCCAAUGCGGGGAGAGGGUGGAUGAUUGCAGUUUUGCCCAGUAAUUUUUGGGACCCUCAUGCCACCAUUAAUUAGCUACACACAUUUCACCGAAAGUCUACCUUACAUAUUAAUCAGAAGAAGUGGAAGAAUAAACACAGAAGAAGCAAAAAAGGAAGGAACUUUCUCACUGAAAGUUUCUAUUUAAUAUUAAGUCUUAAAAGUACUCCUGGAAGGACAAAAGGUGUUCUUAAUAAAUUAUAUUCGCAAAUAUUGGAUUUAAUCCUACCAGUAAUGAAGCAGUCAGUUACUUUCUAGAUGUGCAGAAAUACGUAAUGAACAAAAAAAACUAAUUCCUAUUCCAUUUUUUAUUAGGUCCACAGUUAUUUCACUUCUAAAUAAAUAUGGUUUUUUAAAAGUGGCACGCGGUGGAAUGUAAUUGAGACAGGAUGGAGUUCCUAGAGAAAUUUUACUUCCUCAAUCUGCACUCCACCUUACUUAAAAUACAGUCUUGGGUCUGUAAUUCCCUUAUCUGACUCUCAAGGAAAUGACAAAGUAAUGCCUAGAUUGGACUAAACCUCAUUUAACUUCAAGGCUGACCUUUCUCAAAGUUGAACCUUCGUCUUGUGAGGAACAGAAAGAUCAAGAACUCUGAAGCACCUCGACUUUCCACCUGUGAAGAUGUGUUCAAAUUUGCAACGUGCGGCCACACCUAUGAGGGUCACUCCCUCUGGAGGAAACCAGCUGCCACUUUGUGAGGAUACUCAUAGUCCUGUGGAGGCAUAUCCUCCAUAUGGCUGAGACCUCCUGCGAACAACCAUCACUGACUUGCCAGACAUGAGUGUGCCACCUUGGAAGCAGAUUUUCCAGCCCCAGUUAAGCCUUCAGAUGACAUCAGCCCCUGCUAAUCUCUUGACUACAACCUCAUGAGAGACCCUGAGCCAGAACUAGCCAGGGCUUACCCCUCAUGGUUACAAAGUGGCUGCAACAGCUCCAGGUGUUCUAUCCUUUAACACAGAAUAACUCAAACAACAAGACCCAAUAUUCAGACAAGAAGGAAAGGGACUUUUGGAGAGUGAAGAAAACUUUCCUAGAAACCUCAAACUUCUCCCCAUGCCUUAUUGGCCAGAUUGUAUCCCAUGCCCAUUUCUAAACCAAUCAUUGGCAAAGUGAGUGGAAUUGACGUGAUUAGAUUAACUUUACCAAGAAUGCAUCCUCAGAGAGGCUGAGAAAAAGUCCAGCCUCCUUUGAAGAGCCUGGCUACCUUUCACCUGAACAAAACAAGAAUUCUGAUGAAAAAUGGAGAAUGUAUGUGGAGCAGGCACCCGGAGUGUCUAUGCCAGGAUUUUUUUUCAGUGCGUUUCACCGGUUAUAUUUUUGUCUCUUUACCUUACAAGAUAUGUGGCACGUUUGCCUAAAACAAGCCUUGCUUUCUGAUUUCUGUGCACUAGGCACUUAAACCUUGCAAAUGUCGCUUACCUAACAGUCACUGUCAAGGAGUACCUGGCUAAAGAAUCUCCAGCUAGACAAAGUAGAAGUGUCUGUGCUCUGGCAGUUGAAUAUAUUGUAUCAGGCUCAACAGCACCUUUCACCAAAGGAUGAGACUUCACAACCAUUAGAUCUUCUUUUAUUUUGUUUUUAUUAAAAAAAAAAAUUUUAACACACCAUUGCUAACUUGAAGCCAUUAGAUCUUCUUACCCCCAAUACCACAAAAGUUUAGUGGAAUCAGGGGUAUACCAAGGCAGGUGGAGUAGGGGAGCUGGGAGUGGUCAGCCCCCAGGGCAGGCAAUGAGGGAUUGUGAAUCUGUGAAGAAUUUUAAAGCAAUGAUACAGCUCUAAAUGCAAUGUACUAUCCUGGACUUAGCCCUGGAAAAGAAAAAAGAUAUUAGUGGAAAAACUGGUAAAAUUCAAAUAAUGUCUGUAGUUUGGUUAAUAGUAUUAUACCAAUGUUAAUUUCUGUGUUUUGAUAAAUGUACCAUGGUUAUGUAAGCUGGAUGAAAGAUAUGUGGGAAAUCUCUCUACUAUUUCUGCAACUCUCCUGUAAACCUAAAAAUGUUUCAAAAUAAAAGAUUUAAUGCUAAAAUUGA